UACAGAGGUCUCAAGCGUUGUUCGGAUUCAUUGGGCGUAAAGGGUGCGUAGGUGGCGCGGUAAGUCGGGUGUGAAAUUUCGGAGCUUAACUCCGAAACUGCAUUCGAUACUGCCGUGCUUGAGGACUGGAGAGGAGACUGGAAUUUACGGUGUAGCAGUGAAAUGCGUAGAUAUCGUAAGGAAGACCAGUGGCGAAGGCGGGUCUCUGGACAGUUCCUGACACUGAGGCACGAAGGCCAGGGGAG
rnacentral:rRNA from 1 species